rnacentral:lncRNA from 1 species
AAUGCAGCAUUCUCGUAGUAAUCCUACAUUCCGGUUUAAUUAAGAUCCUUGCAUAGCAGAUAACGUAUAGUGUUUUACAUCGGUCGCCGGUGGUGCGCAACGUGUGAACACGUGAGACAUAUUUUCACGCUUAUUGUUCAGUUUUAGGACAAAGAAGACAGACCAAGAAGGAAGGCUGGUAUGCAUUUGUAUUACAUGGGCAGAUGACACAUAUGUUCACGCUUACUGUUAAGUUUCAAGGACAAAGAAGGACAAAGAACAUGAAGAAGGAAAACCAAGAAGGCAUGGUACAAAAUUGAUAAAGUUUAUUUGAAGGUUGGUAUGCAUUGGUAAUAUAUGGGCAGAUGACACCUAUGAUCACGCUUUCUGUUCAGUUUCAAGUACAAAGAAGAACAAAGAACAUGAAGAAGGAAAACCCAAGAAAGAAGGCUGUUAUGCAAUGGUAAUAUAUGGGCAGAUGACACACAUGUUCACGCUUACUGUUUAGUUUCAAGGACAAAGGACAAAGAACACGAAGAAGGAAAACCAAGAAGGAAGCUCUUGUUAAUUUCAGGCUGGUAUGCAUUGGUAAUAUAUGGACAGAUGACACAUAUGUUCACGCUUACAGUUCAGUUUCAAGGACAAAGGAAGACAAAGAACAUGAAGAAGGAAAACCAAGAAGGAAGGCUGACUAUUUCCAUGGAAAUGUGGAAUUGUGCCAGCCGUUAUGAUGUUUUCUACUCCUAAUCAAAUACCUCAAUCUUUCAUUAGUAAAGAUGUUAUUGCAAAAAUGGUGCUGAAUUAGAAACUCGGUUUCAAAUCAAAGGAGAGAACCUAUACAAUGCUGAAAAUUUCAGUUAUACAGGAAAUUUUAAUCCAGAUAAACAAAAUCUUAGGAUAAAACAGAUGGAAAAGUUAUUUUUGGAUUGAAGAAGUGAACAUGAAUAAUGCUGAAAUCCCAAAAUGCCUGGAAAUUCUAAACUCAUUUUACUGAGUCCAAACUAUGGGGAUUAUCAUAAUAAUGUAAACCAGACAAAAUUUUGAUAAACGUCUUACAAACAUAAAUGAGAGAAGAAGUGUGAUUUGUGUUGCAUGAACAUUUACCUGUCUUAACUUGCUUUUUACCUAAUCUUAAAGUUGCAACAUUCUGGUUACUGAAAAUUUAUUCUUUUAGAAUUCGUAUAAAUCUUUUAAUAAUGAAAAGGAUAUGCCUUACACCCAGCGGCUAUUCUUAAGCUCACUUAGUAUGUAUCAUAUUUUAGUUUUAGUUUAGUUUAGUCCUUAAAUAUCUUACUCCUAUAUAUUGAUAUAUGUAUAUGUACUGUCUGCAAUAGAAAUGAUGUAUGUUGCAAAUUGUUUUUACUUAACAACUCAUGUAUUUAUAAUCUCUUACAGCUCUUUCUACUUUUUAUAUUGAUUAUGUUUACCUUUGUUAUUCAUAGUCGGUUGUAAAAGCUCAUAAAAGCUUGUGUUUACAUGUUGCUGUUUUGCCGACUCUAAAUAAAUCUUAUCUUAUCUUUCCAAUUCAGAAACAGUACCUCAACUGAUUAACAUGUACAGUUUUGUAUUUUAUAGACAAAAAACACUUAAAAUUGUUUUAGCUUCUAAUGAAAAUAGUUUGACACCAGUGACAUUAGGAUUGUUUUUAAAGAUUUAGCGGUAUACUUUCUUUGCAAUAUUUGUUGGCAAAGCAAGGACUUUUUUACAUAGAAAGGACAACUUUAGUUAUUAUUCCAUUCUGUCAUGUAUUGUAUCGAUAAGUUACAUUUUAAUAAAUUAAAUCAAAUGUU